rnacentral:lncRNA from 1 species
CAUCGACUGUUCUUCCUCUCAUCUACGCAGCAUCCGAUUAUCCUUACAGCCAGUGGUGAAUCCUCCGUCUUAUAAGGCUCAGCACCAUCAUAACCCAGCCCACACCUCGUGGCAGAGGAAUCCUCACUGAGCCACCAGCCUCUAACCUCUCCAUGCCAUCGUAUGACAUCAUAUGACACCUGUGUCAAGCCUCAGAAACUCUUUCAAGGAGCCCUGGCUAGGCAGUUAAGAAGGCGCCACCGCCGGGCCUUCCUGUGCAGGAGGUCAUUUCAAUGAGGACUCGGAGCUUCGUCAACGGAGAAAAGAAGGUCACUCUCAGACAGGAUGUAGGGAAGACGUCCUGAGUGAGCCUUGCUGGGCAAGAGACGCCGAGGGGACCAAGAAUGUGGGCCAGUCCCCCAGGAAGUUAUUCAUGAGCCUGCACUGCAGGAUAAACAGCCAACCAAAGUCUUU